rnacentral:rRNA from 1 species
GAUGAACGCUGGCGGCGUGCCUAAUACAUGCAAGUCGAGCGAACGGACGAGAAGCUUGCUUCUCUGAUGUUAGCGGCGGACGGGUGUGUAACACGUGGAUAACCUACCUAUAAGACUGGGAUAACUUCGGGAAACCGGAGCUAAUACCGGAUAAUAUUUUGAACCGCAUGGUUCAAAAGUGAAAGACGGUCUUGCUGUCACUUAUAGAUGGAUCCGCGCUGCAUUAGCUAGUUGGUAAGGUAACGGCUUACCAAGGCAACGAUGCAUAGCCGACCUGAGAGGGGGAUCGGCCACACUGGAACUGAGACACGGCCCAGACUCCUACGGGAGGCAGCAGAAGGGAAUCUUCCGAAAGGGGCGAAAGCCUGACGGAGCAACGCGGGGGGAGUGAUGAAGGCCUUCGGAUCGUAAAACCAUGUUAUUAGGGAAGAACAUAUGUGUAAGUAACUGUGAACAUCUUGACGGUACCGAACCAGAAAGCCACGGCAAACUACGU